CGUGUAGGCGGGAAGGAAAGUCAGAUGUGAAAUCCCCAGGCUCAACCUGGGAACUGCAUUUGAAACUCCCUUUCUUGAGUGCCGGAGAGGAAAGCGGAAUUCCUGGUGUAGAGGUGAAAUUCGUAGAUAUCAGGAGGAACACCAGCGGCGAAGGCGGCUUUCUGGACGGUAACUGACGCUGAGACGCGAAAGCGUGGGGAGCAAACA
rnacentral:rRNA from 1 species